rnacentral:tRNA from 1 species
GCCCUCUUAGCUCAGGUGGAUAGAGCACAGGAUUCCUAAUCCUGGUGUCGCAUGUUCGAGUCAUGCAGAGGGCGCCA